GACGUAGGGCGCGAGCGUUGUCCGGAUUUAUUGGGCGUAAAGAGCUCGUAGGCGGUUUGUCGCGUCGGCUGUGAAAACUCGGGGCUCAACCCCGAGCCUGCAGUCGAUACGGGCAGACUAGAGUGCGGUAGGGGAGACUGGAAUUCCUGGUGUAGCGGUGAAAUGCGCAGAUAUCAGGAGGAACACCGGUGGCGAAGGCGGGUCUCUGGGCCGUAACUGACGCUGAGGAGCGAAAGCGUGGGGAGCGAACAGG
rnacentral:rRNA from 1 species